rnacentral:rRNA from 1 species
CCUACGGGAGGCAGCAGUGGGGAAUAUUGGGCAAUGGGCGCAAGCCUGACCCAGCAACGCCGCGUGAAGGAAGAAGGCUUUCGGGUUGUAAACUUCUUUUAAGAGGGAAGAGCAGAAGACGGUACCUCUUGAAUAAGCCACGGCUAACUACGUGCCAGCAGCCGCGGUAAUACGUAGGUGGCAAGCGUUGUCCGGAUUUACUGGGUGUAAAGGGCGUGCAGCCGGGAAGAAAAGGUAGAUGUGAAAUCCCGCGGCUCAACCGCGGAACUGCAUUUGAAACUGUUUUUCUUGAGUACCGGAGAGGUCAUCGGAAUGCCUUGUGUAGCGGUGAAAUGCGUAGAUAUAAGGAAGAACACCAGUGGCGAAGGCAGAUGACUGGACGGCAACUGACGGUGAGGCGCGAAAGCGUGGGGAGCAAACAGGAUUAGAUACCCUAGUAGUC